rnacentral:rRNA from 1 species
AUUGAACGCUGGCGGCAGGCCUAACACAUGCAAGUCGAACGAGUGGCGGACGGGUGAGUAAUGUCUGGGAAACUGCCCGAUGGAGGGGGAUAACUACUGGAAACGGUAGCUAAUACCGCAUACCAUCGGAUGUGCCCAGAUGGGAUUAGCUAGUAGGUGGGGUAACGGCUCACCUAGGCGACGAUCCCUAGCUGGGCUGAGAGGAUGACCAGCAACACAGGAACUGAGACACGGUCCAGAAGCCUACGGGAGGCAGCAGUGGGGAAUAUGGCACAAUGGGGGCAAGCCUGAUGCAGCCAUGCGGCGGGUAGGAAGAAGGCCUUCGGGUUGUAAAGUACUGUCAGCGGGGAGGCGUUACCCGCAGAAGAAGCACCGGCUAACUCCGUGCCAGCAGCCGCGGUAAUUC